GCCUGUGUAAUAGUUUGCUUCUCUCCGUGUUCAGCCGAGCGUACCUAAUUGUCCAACGGCGGCGGUCAAGGAUUCAAAUGGCUGCUUACUCGUUUUAAAAAAUGGCUAGCGGCCAGGAAAAAUGAUUUAGCACGGAUGUUUUGCCACAUAUCAAAUGUUGGAAUCGUGAUCAGUUUUUCUUUUAGAAUAGCAGGUAUUCUAUGGGAUUUUUAAUUUUGUAGAUCACAGAUGGCAUAUUAACAGCCCUUUUUGACAUAAUUUAGGGGUCAAAUUCUUUUCUUUUUCUGACAAGUAAACAUUACUUAUGACAUGAAGUACCCCUUUGAGGUUUGCAAAUCAUCAAAAAAAUGUUUGUCCAACAGAUGUGUAUAAAAAUGUAGCAGAGUAUGUAAUACUGAAAUCUAGAACAUGUGCUGAGAGUGGCACCAAACUGGUUUGUCAAAACUUUGUCAAACAAUUGUGCUGAACAACUAAAAACCCAAGUGGUAUUUUGCAUUAGUUACCAUUGUUUGGUAAUCUGCUUCAGAGUCUUGUUAACAUAAUCUAAAUUUACUUAAAGGCUGAAACAGAUAUUUUUAGAUAAUAGUUCCAUUAUAUUUCAAAUGCAAAACCGUUCUUUGAUAGUUCUUGUUAGGCAAUAUGCAUGUAUCAAUGUAAAGCUGGAGUGAGGGGGUCGGGCUGAUGUGGGGCAUUUAAUUUUUUUUACAUUUUUUUAUUAUCAAUUUUUUACCAAAUUGCCUUCUCUUGGGACUGAAAAGGAGUUCAAAUGGCAUGAAAAUUCCUGGGGAUACAAAACAGAGAUGCCCAAAUGCCUCAGCUCUGCCUGACUGCUUGCCCUCGGGCUUUACACUGAUACAUGCAUUGUAGUUAGUCUUCAUUGCAUGAUAUUUCAAAUGUGAAGUGUUCUUUAUUUAUAAUUAAGAGCAGAUUCUGUAAAGCUGGCAGUAUGAUUACCACAAGCAAGGCCACAGCCUAAAACUUGGCCUUCUAUGACCUUUGCCUUUUUGUGGCCUUUUCCACUAAGAGAGAUCUGCCCUGAUUAUUCUUCUUUAAUUAUAAAGGAAACCAUGAUUCUUGUUAGUGCUAUUAAGAAACCUAAAGAAUGCAACAGAUUUAUUAGAUAGUAUAGUGAGGUGAGGCUGCAUGAUUUUCCAAAUGUGAAGUAUUCUUGAAUUAGACAUUUUAUCACAUUAGUAAGACAAUUACAAAAA